rnacentral:rRNA from 1 species
AUGUGGACCUGUCUUCGUCAGCGCUAUGAGCCCUCUGGUGAUGCCUUAUACCUUUCUGUGGUUCGUCAGGAGCAUGCUCUUCAGCAGGGUGACUCUACUGUUGAUGACUUUUAUGCACAGAGUUCUGCUAUCUGGCGCCAACUUGAUUCUCUCCGCAGUGCUGGUUGUCGUACUUGCCCCUGCUGCCAGGCUGUCCAGGCCGAUUUGGAGUUUCAUCGCGUCUACGAGUUCCUGUCUCGGCUCCGUAAGGAGUUUGAGCCCCGGCGUGCUCAGUUGCUUGCUCGUGGUCGUAUUUCUCUCAUGGAGGCGCUUUCAGAGAUUCGUGCUGAGGAGACUCGCCUACGUGGUGCUGGUUUGCUGGAGGUUCCCUCUGUGCUCGCUACUCGGGUUUCUUCCACUCCACCUGCUGCACCGCCCCAUUCUCGCUCGAGUGCUCCGCUGCUCUUGCCGACUCCUUCUGGAGGCUCAGGUCGCCCCCGUUCACAUUGUGACUACUGCAAGAAUGAUGGUCAUAUUGAGUCCCAGUGCUACACCAAGCGGAAACACCCGCGCAAGGCGCGAUCAUCAGGGACU